AAUAUUGGACAAUGGGGGCAACCCUGAUCCAGCCAUGCCGCGUGUGUGAAGAAGGCCUUUUGGUUGUAAAGCACUUUAAGCAGUGAAGAAGACUCCAUGGUUAAUACCCAUGGACGAUGACAUUAGCUGCAGAAUAAGCACCGGCUAACUCUGUGCCAGCAGCCGCGGUAAUACAGAGGGUGCAAGCGUUAAUCGGAAUUACUGGGCGUAAAGCGAGCGUUGGUGGGUUGGUAAGGUAGAAUGGGAAGGCCCGGGGCUAACCUGGGAAAGGGAAUCGAUAAUGUUAGGGUAGAGGAGGUGAGAGGAAGGUAGGAUUCCCGGUGUAGCGGUGAAAUGCGUAGAGAUCUGGGGGAAUACCGAUGGCGAAGGCAGCCUUCUGGCAUCAUUCUGACACUGAGGUUCGAAAGCGUGGGUAGCAAAC
rnacentral:rRNA from 1 species